rnacentral:rRNA from 1 species
AAUAGAUACCCCGGUAGUCCACGCCGUAAACGAUGAAUACUAGGUGUCGGAGGGUACCACCUUCGGUGCCGCAGCAAACGCAAUAAGUAUUCCGCCUGGGGAGUACGGUCGCAAGAUUAAAACUCAAAGGAAUUGACGGGGACCCGCACAAGCAGCGGAGCAUGUGGUUUAAUUCGAAGCAACGCGAAGAACCUUACCUAGACUUGACAUCUCCUGAAUUACUCGUAACGGAGGAAGCCCUUCGGGGCAGGAAGACAGGUGGUGCAUGGUUGUCGUCAGCUCGUGUCGUGAGAUGUUGGGUUAAGUCCCGCAACGAGCGCAACCCUUAUUGUUAGUUGCUACCAUUAAGUUGAGCACUCUAACGAGACUGCCGCGGUUAACGUGGAGGAAGGUGGGGAUGACGUCAAAUCAUCAUGCUCCUUAUGUCUAGGGCUACACACGUGCUACAAUGGCCGGUACAACAAGAUGCAAUCCCGUGAGGGGGAGCUAAACUCAAAAGCCGGUCCCAGUUCGGAUUGUAGGCUGAAACUCGCCUACA